AGGAGUGGAGCCUGCGGCUUAAUUUGACUCAACACGGGAAACCUCACCAGGCCCGGACACCGGAAGGAUUGACAGAUUGAGAGCUCUUUCUUGAUUCGGUGGGUGGUGGUGCAUGGCCGUUCUUAGUUGGUGGAGCGAUUUGUCUGGUUAAUUCCGAUAACGAACGAGACUCUAGCCUGCUAACUAGGCGUACUUUGACAUCCUAAAGGCCCGCCGGCUUGGGGUUCGCUCCUUGUCGUGCGCGGUUUUUACUGUCGGCGUACAAACAAUUCUUCUUAGAGGGACAGGCGGCUUCUAGCCGCACGAGAUUGAGCAAUAACAGGUCUGUGAUGCCCUUAGAUGUUCUGGGCCG
rnacentral:rRNA from 4 species